UGAGGGUGAGUAAAUCAUGGCAUCAUUUUCAUUUUUUUGGUGAAUUAUUCCUGUAAUGUGGGACCUAAAGCUCUUGUCUGAUCAUAACCUUUUUUUCCAGUGAUAUUCCUCUGAAUUCUUUGCUUUCUACACUCAAAUCUCCCUCUUGCUCUCUCUCCAGCAAAUAUUCUUGGAAAUCACUUACUGCAUCUUUAAUUAAAGCAGGUUAUACUGUAUAUGUUUAAAUCACAUGUGAUUGUUGUUUAUUAUAGCAGUGACUUUACUCGAUAAUUUAACAGAUUGACUCCUGAAACUUUGUACGUGUGUGUGACCAACAUUAAAAGUGUGUAUCAGCAUGAAAAACAAGGAAAAAAUUGUAUUCAAACAGUGUGGAUUAUAUACAGAAAAUGAGCACUGGUUUUAUUCAAUUGCUUACCCUCAUGUCUUUCGAAACCCAUUUAACUUCAGUUUGUUUUUGAUAAACAUUUUUUGGAUCUUUGGAAAACGUUUUUGCAUGUUUAAGCUUUAGUUUACCAUGAUUGUUAUGCAUUUGUGCAUUGAUCAUCAUUUUUGUGAUUAAAAGCCUAAAUUAAAUCUGUUCAUCAUAUAAAGUGAUCAUAUAUUUACAGUUCUUUCAUGUUGUGUAGUUGUUGUUUUUUUUCCUCAGCAAAAAGAUCCUAAAGCAGCUGUGUUGGUUUGUGUUUCAGAUGUUUCUGCUGCUGAGGUCAAGGCCAAGUCAGUGAGGGAGGGAGAAUCUGUCACUUCAGAUCCUGGUGUGCCUCUGUGUUCAGUUGCUAUAGCAGGAAUAAGUGCUGCCGUUCUGGUGCUGCUUGUUGCUGCAGUUGCUGCUGUGAUUUACUAUCACAAAAACAAGAAUGAAUACUCACGUACUAAUGGGACUGAUCAUAAUGGGACUGAUCACAACAAUGCUGUUAAGCUGCUAAAGUGAUCCAGACAGAAACAGUGAGAUAUUUCUCUGUUUCUUGUCAUUUGCACUGAUCUGGUUUGAAAUACCAGUUACUUUGUGCCGUCUGUUUAUAACUAACUGUGUUUACAUGAAUACCUUGACAGACAGGCAUUAUGACCAAACAGUGUAUUUGACUGCUCACAUAUAAUCUCACAUUGCCUCGUACUGUAAGACGCAAGCGCUCUUCACAAAUACACAACUGAGUGUUUGAAGGCAGCUGUCAAUCAAUCAGUACUCAGGUACUGACUCUGCACUACUGAUAAAGACAAGGACAAAGACUGUCAUUUAAUGUUACAUCAAAUCAAAACAUGUUUUUUAUAUAUACUUUAUGAAUCACAAUUGAGUUAUGUCUUCCUGUUUAAAAUAGUGAUAUUAUAUGAGGUGCUGAUUAGAUAAUCUUACUGCCAAAGUCUUUAAUGUGAGGAGGAAGAUGAAGAUGGAGAUCUGUGGGGCGUUACAGAUGAACAUCCACUACAGGUGUUUUCUCCAUCUCUGUUCAUGAAGCAUGUGUAGUGUGAUGUAUUUAAUGUGUUUUCUUCAUCUGUUUAUGAGCAUUAACACUAUGUCACUAUGAGAUGAUCUGCCUUCACUUGAAUGUUUAUUUAUAUUGACAUAGAUGUUUCUUUUUUACUGGGUAAGAUUGUCUGCCUUCAACUUUAAAUUACAGUUGUUUUUUUUUUAAGGGUGGAUAUGGUAGAAUAUGUAGUUUUAAAAAGUUAAAAUUUGCCAAAUAUAAAGAAAUAAGAGCUGAACAUAGACGAUUUUGUUUCAUUAACACUACUUUUUUUCAGCAGUUUAAUAAGCUGUUGAAAUAUUGUAAACAGUCUGUGCAUAUGAAUAAGUUUUAUUUUGUGGUUAAAAAAAAAAAUCCUGUGUUUUUCCAUAAGCAGAAUAUUUUUUGAAAUGUUUUUGUUUGUUUGUUUUUCGGUUUUGUUUUCUUUAACUUUAAAUUAGCUUAUAUAAACACCCUUUUUUUCCCUGAAGCACGCAGAAAUAACUAUUUGAUUGUUCAUGUAUGUCAUUAAAAACACCUGAUUCAAUAAUAACUGGAUUCUCUGAGUGUUGAAUUCCUAGUUAUGACAAUAGAUGCUGCUCUAAUACAGUUUGUAUACUGUUUGUUGUGUACA